UGCGGGAAAAAUGUGAAAUGGCAGAUUUGAUGUGCUGUUGCCUCUCCCAUGAUGCCUUGCCCUGUAAGAAGACCUCUGGAGAAAGAGCAUUCAAAGCUUCUAUGGAAUUAAAUUAGACAUAAAUAAAUGAAAAUAAUGGUAGAAGUGUAGACACUGUAGAUCAGGCAAGGUUUGGCAUGAAUAGCAUGAAUUCAGGGCCCUUCUGCUCAUUCCAGGCAGACGAAUAAUAGCAGCUGCCAUUUAUUGAGCACCUACUAGGUCAAUGCAGCAUCUCUGCAGGAGAGACAUUGCCAUCUGUACCUUAUCAAUGGCAAAACUGACCCUCGGAACAGUGAACUGACCAACUGCACAACCUAUGAGGAACCAAAGCAACAGCAUUCAAAUCAAUAGCCCAACACGGACCUAGACUCUGAAUGAAGAGAAAGUGAACUCCAAAGUUGGCCCCCAAGCCAAGGCCUCACCCUAAGAGCUUGUACCUCCAGGACAGAAUCCACAACCUUCUGCUGUUGCAUCCUUUGAGGAACCACCUGGACAGUAGAUGUCCCUCAGAAGCCAUGACUGAGUUAGCAGACUUCAUCCUGCUGCUGGGGAGCUGAUUCUUAGCUAUUCAGCAGCACACCAUGGAUUCCUGGAGUCACUAAAGCUGGUAUAUAAACCACCUUACAAAGCUAGAACAUCUCAGACGGCUGUCUGGUCAGACAGGUCAAUAUUAAGCUCCCAGCCAAAGUGCACAGCAAAUCCCCAGAGUAACCAGAAAACUGUGGAAUGUGGUAGUCCCUUGCAGAUGGGAGAAGUGAGUAAGCAUCUCUUCUGAUUUUCCACACACAUCAGAGACAAAAUGAGAUCGCAAACACAAAUCAAUUCAAUUGUCUUGGAAUAUGACAGCUUGACUCACAACCCAACUCCUCGCUCCCUGACAAGGUUGUCUGCAUCCUAUUAAAGCUGAUGACUGCUGAGCUAUUGAUAUAGCACUGGAUCCUCUCACGAUGACAGCCUUUGAAUCAUAACUCUUUCUUCAUCACAGGAGUCACUGAAAAACCCUGUACAAUUGACACCAUAACAUGGGUGUCACUUUACAAAGUGGCUUAUUCUUUGGCAACAAUAAGGGCUUGUUAAUUUCUCCUCCCACUCUAGACCUCCUCCUGCAGCACCUCAGUAGAGCCCUUGCAAAAGCUCCAUUUCCUGGUCAUGGACAAUUCAUUACUUCCUGUCACACGUUGCUUACUGUCAUCUCUCUUUUGUAAUCACAGCAAGCCAUGACGGACUUCCUACAAAGUUUUAAUCAGUUCUUCAAAUGUCUUACCAGCAUCCACACUUCAGUGCUGGGUUAGUGAGUUAUCUAAGCCCAAAGAUUCAAUGGGAGAAUUGAACAUGAAGGCAAUUCUUGUCUGAUCAGAGAAUCUGAGGUACCAGAGAAAGCAAGAGUGAGAGGGACAGUUCUCAGCACAGACUUUAAUAACCCUGCAUGCUCAGCUGGACAGGCUUUGGGAAUGAGAGGAGCGCCAUGCCUACACUAAUCAGGCAUUUCCUGGUGUGAAGUACUCUGCUCAGUGGCGUAGGAUAACUCAGAAAAAUUAGAAUAUGUACUCUAUAAACUGGUGGAAGAGACAGGACGGAAGCAGAGUGACCAAUGGAGUACAGUAAAUGUGAGAGAGAAGAUAAACCAAAAUAACAA